GACUGAAGUGUGAAGAGGGGUGUAUGUGGGAGACGUGCCGAGAAUGCUAAAUAUCCUGCUCCCCGGGCCCCCGAAGAGGAACCAGCGGCAUGAUGUCACACACCUGUUUGGCUGGAGGCUGCGGCCCAGCGAUGCUCGCAGCCGUGGGUGUCACGUUGGCACCCCUCGCUCCCCCCUUGUCGCUGCCUGCUACGCCCCGUGGAUGUGUCAAAAUGGCAGAUGAUGGUUGGGGUGUGUGCAGCUGCUUGGGAAGAGGAGUGCCAAGGGCGCUCAUUUCCUGCGGAAACUCUUGGAAGGCAAAAGCAACAUCCUGAGUUGGUGAGGAGACAGGAGAGGUGCUGACAUGCCGACAGGCAGGGGAUCCUGGGAAAAGCCACAGACAGGAAGAGCCUGACUGACUUUGACCCGCGAGGUCAAGGCUGGGGGCUCGGCAACUGAAAGAUGUUUCCAAGCCACACUCAGACUAUCAUAGAGUUUUACAGGAAAUAGCUUAGAAAUACUGUAUGCUGUGAAAUGUGGGAGAUCUUUUUAUUGCUUGCUCUUUUGUUUUGCUCUGUGACAUAAAAAUGCA